rnacentral:rRNA from 1 species
AGAGUUUGAUCCUGGCUCAGAACGAACGCUGGCGGCAGGCUUAACACAUGCAAGUCGAGCGCCCCGCAAGGGGAGCGGCAGACGGGUGAGUAACGCGUGGGAAUCUACCGUGCCCUACGGAAUAGCUCCGGGAAACUGGAAUUAAUACCGUAUACGCCCUACGGGGGAAAGAUUUAUCGGGGUAUGAUGAGCCCGCGUUGGAUUAGCUAGUUGGUGGGGUAAAGGCCUACCAAGGCGACGAUCCAUAGCUGGUCUGAGAGGAUGAUCAGCCACAUUGGGACUGAGACACGGCCCAAACUCCUACGGGAGGCAGCAGUGGGGAAUAUUGGACAAUGGGGGCAACCCUGAUCCAGCAAUGCCGCGUGAAUGAUGAAGGCCUUAGGGUUGUAAAGUUCUUUUAUUGAUGACGAUAAUGACGGUAAUCAAUGAAUAAGCACCGGCUAACUUCGUGCCAGCAGCCGCGGUAAUACGUAGGGUGCGAGCGUUAAUCGGAAUUACUGGGCGUAAAGCGUGCGCAGGCGGUUUUGUAAGACAGGCGUGAAAUCCCCGGGCUUAACCUGGGAAUGGCGCUUGUGACUGCAAAGCUGGAGUGCGGCAGAGGGGGAUGGAAUUCCGCGUGUAGCAGUGAAAUGCGUAGAUAUGCGGAGGAACACCGAUGGCGAAGGCAAUCCCCUGGACCUGUACUGACGCUCAUGCACGAAAGCGUGGGGAGCAAACAGGAUUAGAUACCCUGGUAGUCCACGCCCUAAACGAUGUCAACUGGUUGUUGGGUCUCUUCUGACUCAGUAACGAAGCUAACGCGUGAAGUUGACCGCCUGGGGAGUACGGCCGCAAGGUUG